rnacentral:rRNA from 1 species
AACGAACGCUGGCGGCGCGCCUAAUACAUGCAAGUCGAGCGAGAAGACGUAGCAAUACGUUUGUAAAGCGGCGAACGGGUGAGGAAUACAUGGGUAACCUACCCUCGAGUGGGGAAUAACUAGCCGAAAGGUUAGCUAAUACCGCGUACGCUCCUUGGACUUCGGUUCAGGGAGGAAAGCGAUACCGUGGGUAUCGCGCUCUUGGAUGGGCUCAUGUCCUAUCAGCUU